rfam:Felis catus isolate Cinnamon breed Abyssinian chromosome C1, whole genome shotgun sequence.
ACCUGGGUGGCUCAGUUGGUUGGGCAUCUGACUUUGGCUCAGGUCAUGAUCUCAUGGUGCGUGAGUUCGAGCCCCACGUCAGGCU